AGCUUUGCGCAGUGGCAGUAUCAUAGCCAAUGAGGUUUAUCCGAGGCAUGAUUAUUGCUAAUUGAAACCCCUUAUCAGCCUAACUUCCUUCCAAGAUGGAGGCAUAGGUAGAUACACUUUGCUUCUUCACACAACCAAAAGA